GAUGAACGCUGGCGGCGUGCCUAAUACAUGCAAGUCGAGCGAACAGACGAGGAGCUUGCUCCUCUGACGUUAGCGGCGGACGGGUGAGUAACACGUGGAUAACCUACCUAUAAGACUGGGAUAACUUCGGGAAACCGGAGCUAAUACCGGAUAAUAUAUUGAACCGCAUGGUUCAAUAGUGAAAGACGGUUUCGCUGUCACUUAUAGAUGGAUCCGCGCCGCAUUAGCUAGUUGGUAAGGUAACGGCUUACCAAGGCAACGAUGCGUAGCCGACCUGAGAGGGUGAUCGGCCACACUGGAACUGAGACACGGUCCAGACUCCUACGGGAGGCAGCAGUAGGGAAUCUUCCGCAAUGGGCGAAAGCCUGACGGAGCAACGCCGCGUGAGUGAUGAAGGUCUUCGGACCGUAAAACUCUGUUAUUAGGGAAGAACAAAUGUGUAAGUAACUAUGCACGUCUUGACGGUACCUAAUCAGAAAGCCACGGCUAACUACGUG
rnacentral:rRNA from 1 species